CCUACGGGCGGCAGCAGUGAGGAAUAUUGGUCAAUGGGCGUAAGCCUGAACCAGCCAAGUCGCGUGAGGGAUGAAGGUUCUAUGGAUCGUAAACCUCUUUUAUAAGGGAAUAAAGUGUGGGACGUGUCCUGUUUUGUAUGUACCUUAUGAAUAAGGAUCGGCUACCUCCGUGCCAGCAGCCGCGGUAAUACGGAGGCGCCGAGCGUUAUCCGGGAUUGGUGGGUUUAAAGGGUUAGUAGGCGAAAGGCCAAGUCCGGGGUAAAACGGGGGGGCUCACCUCGCCCCGCCGUUGUAACUGGCGUUCUUGAGUGGGCGAGAAGUAUGCGGAAUGCGUGGUGUAGCGGUGAAAUGCAUAGAUAUCACGCAGAACUCCGAGUGCGAAGGCAGCAUACCGGCGCCCAACUGACGCUGAAGCACGAAAGCGUGGGUAUCGAACAGGAUUAGAUACCCCUGGAGUC
rnacentral:rRNA from 1 species